UACGUAGGGCGCAAGCGUUGUCCGGAAUUAUUGGGCGUAAAGAGCUCGUAGGCGGUCUGUUGCGUCCGCUGUGAAAACUCGGGGCUUAACCCCGAGCCUGCAGUGGAUACGGGCAGACUAGAGGUAGGUAGGGGAGAAUGGAAUUCCCGGUGUAGCGGUGAAAUGCGCAGAUAUCGGGAGGAACACCGGUGGCGAAGGCGGUUCUCUGGGACGGUAUUGACGCUGAGACGCGAAAGCGUGGGGAGCGAACAGG
rnacentral:rRNA from 1 species